AAUAAUCCUUGUGAAGCUCUUAUAACUAACAUACAACACCAAAGUGAAAAUCAGAUUAGAAAGUACUUGUAAGAAUAAAAACUGAGCCAUGCCUCAUGCACAACUUGCUAUACAAAGAGAGAAUAUUAGAGCUGACAUACUGAAGCCACCCCUGACUAUGAAGAACUCAGAGUUUCAGCGUGAGGUCUGGCGUAGAAUUGUCUAAGUCAGCUGAUGGAGUUUCCCCU
rnacentral:misc_RNA from 1 species